rnacentral:rRNA from 1 species
GAUGAACGCUGGCGGCGUGCCUAAUACAUGCAAGUCGAGCGAACGGACGAGAAGCUUGCUUCUCUGAUGUUAGCGGCGGACGGGUGAGUAACACGUGGAUAACCUACCUAUAAGACUGGGAUAACUUCGGGAAACCGGAGCUAAUACCGGAUAAUAUUUUGAACCGCAUGGUUCAACAGUGAAAGACGGUCUUGCUGUCACUUAUAGAUGUAUCCGCGCUGCAUUAGCUAGUUGGUAAGGUAACGGCUUACCAAGGCAACGAUGCAUAGCCGACCUGAGAGGGGGAUCGGCCAAACUGGAACUGAGACACGGUCAAGACUCCUACGGGAGGCAGCAGUAGGAAAUCUUCCGCAAUGGGCGAAAGCCUGACGGAGCAACGCCGCGUGAGUGAUGAAGGUCUUCGGAUCGUAAAACUCUGUUAUUAGGGAAGAACAUAUGUGUAAGUAACUGUGCACAUCUGGACGGUACCUAAUCAGAAAGCCACGGCUAACUACGU